UGCCAACAUAAAUUGUUGAAAAGUGAUAUUAUAAUAUAUGAUACUAAUAUUAAUUAUUUGGAAAAUAAAUAAUACGGAAUUCAUCGAGAAUCGAAUAAUUAAAGGAUUAGUGGACUAAAUUGGACGAAAGAAAAGUUAGAAGUUAGAGGUUGAGGAGGUGGCAAACUCAAGGACUAAAGGAGACUUUUGUCUCAUUUAUCUAAGUCACUUGCAUAUGAGUUUAAACUCAGCAAGCUUAUCAUUUUCAGCUCCCAAAUUUCGUACUCCAUCCUUUCUCCAUGGAAGAUCAUCAACCAAAUUUCAAAGGAGCAUAACUUCUUCGUUUCUCAACGAAAUUGGACGAUUCUUGUGGCCACGGAAUGAGAAGAAGGAGAGCUACUGAUCUAGCCCUAUUGUUCAAGGUGUUCUUGAGUUGAAUUGAAGCAAAGUUGAUGGUGAAUUUGAGCUUGAAGUGUUUGGCCAUGAUCAACAAUCCAAGGUGAGUGUUAUCGAAUUUGCGUAUACUCGACGAAGCGACUAUCGACAAGGCUUGAGGGGAACGGAUCGAGAUGUCUUCGUGUUUAUUUAAAGAUUAUGGAUAGCAAGUGGGAUAGCAUGAUAUGAUUUGAAGAGUCAAUCUUCCGAAGUUCUAAUUCUCGGAAGUGAUUUGUACAAGAAAAAAAAAAGAAUGUUUUCAUUCUAGCAGUCCGCAGUAGUCUAGAAUUUGUUAACUAUAAUUUUGUAUAACGCGUUUUAACUCUGAUAUUAUUUGUAAAUGGGGUCACAUGUAUUUUAAUAUAUGAAAUAUGUUUUAAUUUGCGAAAAAUUUACACAGGUUUUUAGGCUUGCUACGGGAUUUGGAGCUACCACUCCCAUUCCCUAGCGCCGGUCGCGGCUCGAGAAAUCGGGUCGUGACAAAGGUGGUAUCAAAGCAAUGGUUUAGUGUUCCUAGGCCAUUGUUCUUUUGUGAUCGAGGUAUCGCAACGAGUCAAUUACUUCCUAGGAACUACUGCGGAUUAUAGGGAUUUCCAGUCAUGUCUUUUGAACGUUAUCAUCUUUUUCAUCGAUUUUUCAAACGUUUUACAAAUACAACCCCUCAUAUAUGUGCUAUUAGGAGUCGAGUUAGGAGUGUGCAUGAGCAUAAAUUAUGUUUUGUGUUUACUCGAGUAAGCAAUACACUUUCGAGUAUUUAUAGUCUGCGAAGAGUUAUAUACUCUCGAGACUCAUAUGAUUAAGAAUAUCGUUAUGGACUAUGAUUGAAUUAAUUGAUUGGAUAGUAUAUGAAUGAUGAGAUAUGCGACGCGCUGCAAAACGCGAUCACUCAGAAGAGUGAUAUGCUCACAGGUAUGUACACCUGUGAUAACAUAUACGAUAUGUGAAAUGUGUGUUUGUGAUUGGUUGUUAUUUAUAGAACUUGCGAUUAUUGAUUAUAUGCUGCUUAAUUUUGCUAAGUCUAUAGCGAGCGGAAUGCUCGCGAGACUUAAAAUAUGCGAAUUAGCCGAAGAAAAUCUAGGUGACACUGAUUUUCUUGAGAUUUGAUCAGCAUAGGUUGUUUAUAGAUAUGCGUAGAGUAUGAAUAGAACAUGUUAUGACUAGUAUGUACUAUAUUUUAAGGAAUUCAUCGGGAUUCCUUUAUAUAUCCGCCAUACUAAGAACAAAGAGCUAUUCGAACGUGUGCCAUGGCACAGUAAGUGCAUAAGGCCCCGAGAUGGAGCCAGAAGUAACGAAAGAAAAUGUAAACCACUCCAUUUGGCCGGUAGAGGCCAGGGAUAAGACGGAGCUUAGAGGAACCUAGUAUUGACAAAGUGAGAAUGUACAGGCACCAGGAGUGCCGUAACAACCCAGCGAUGAUAGUAAUCAGUUAAUAAUAGGAGUAAUUGAUAUGCAGAGUUUUAUGCUAAUAAUAAGAUAGUGAUACAAGGACAAUAUCAAUAUGAAGAGGAAAGAUGCAAGGUAGAGAUCUGAUAUUGGCAUAAAUGAAGUUAAGAUUAAAGGAGUUUGGUGGAUUGAACGAUGUGUUAGAUUUUCUAGACGGAGCGGAGCUAAUUGCUCGUAAUCUUCAAGUGGACAAAGGAUAAACGGUAAAAUCAAUAGAGGUAUCGAUGAAAGGUUCAACCAAAGAUUGUGUUCGAUAAGUAAUUGGACCGAUAAAGGGUCAAACAAUAUGGAUGGAGUUAGUGACCCGAUUUAGGUAAUUCUUUUUACUGUUUGCUUUGAUUAAGGACAAGCAAGAAAAGCAAAUAUCGUUAACUCGAGGAGACAAUCUAGUCCAAAGAUAGGUUAUCGAGUUUGAUAGAUUAAGUGGAUUCGCUCACGACUUAAUGAUAGAUUAAGUGUGAGUCUAUACAAGAAUCGUGGAAGGAUUAGGACCACAAUCUAUGGAAAGACUGACACAGACUGAUAGAGAGAAGUUAUUCAGCUUGUCAACAAUGUUAGACAAUUAGAAAAUGCACUAGUCCAUUCUGAAGAAGGUCAAAUAAGAAGUAAAUAUAUGAAGUAUGAAUAUCACAUGUUUGGAUAAAUGAGUAAGAUGUUAAUGAUAAGCAUAACCCAAGAGUUAAUGCUAUAGUUAAUAGUAACCUAAAGGACGAAUUCGCCUUGUUGCGAAUAGUAAGGAUACAGUGAGAAGGGAAGCAAAGUCUAAAGAAGACUUAUGCAAAUAAGUUAUGAGAUGCCAAAGAGGAUUCUAGCAAGAUAGUGAUCAAUAUGAUGAUGAUAUCGUGAAGAUUAUAAAGGAUGUUAGUAAGUGCCAUAAGAAUUCGAAAACUUCUCUGCAUGAGUAAGAAGAUAGACAAGAGUAAAUGGAAGAGAGUUGAUUAACAGACCCGAGAGUCAAUAAUCAAGAUAAGUAAUAGGCAUGGAAGUAGAGACAUUGCCAAAGGCAACACAUGACAAGAAGAGUUGAAUGAAUUGAGAAACUCAUCGAGAAUGAGUAAACGAAGUGUAUCACAUAGACCAGAAGAUAUGAUGAAAGUUAAUACGAAGAAUAUAAUAGGAGAUGAUCGAGAAGAAUGAUAAAAGUGAAAAGACGGAAAGGCUAUGCAGCUAGCACUAUUAGCUCGUCGUUGGAACAAGGAAGUUCCAACUUUGCAAGUUCCAUACACUCGCAAUGACGGAUGUAUGUUGCCAGUAAGGAGAACAAAGUCAAUACACGAGGGAUGCAACAUCCCAUGUGAUAAGAUACAACAGGUGACACAAACCAACCAUCCCCUUAAAGACGGAGUUUGUCGCGGCAAUUUCUAGUUAGACACAACCAAUAGACCGUAUAGUAGAAGCGAAUGUCAUGAAGUCCAAACGCUAGAAGAUCAAUAGCGAUUAAACCUUUUGAGCUAGUCUAGUGUAAACAUGAACGCUUAGGACGUACUUUUCGAACGACGUCAAAAGCGGACAAGUAGAAAUACAUCUUUUUGUAUGCAAAAGAUGUACAUAGAUUGCGAACAAUAGUACGAUAAAUGAUAAGAACGAGUAGUUAUACAGAGUCUGAUGUCAAAGAAACUUACGUAAACCCCGUUUUAUGAAAAGAAAAGUAUUUGAUCGAAAUAAAAUAUUUUGAAAAGACAUAAUUGUGCCCGGACACGAAUCAUAAAAACAUCGCAUUGACACGAAUAGAAUUGCAUCACUACAUCCAUAUUGCAUUCACUACUAGGACAUGCAUCAUAUACAUUGUGUAUGUCUGGAAAUGAAAAAGAGGAGUGUCAUUGCAACUCUUGUGAUGAGAGAAGUCAUCACACCGGUGCACAAUUAUGACAUGAUUUGAGAAAUGAAAAGUAUCGUGGUUUUAAACGGAUGAGUUUUCAAACGUAAGUAAGCUCAGACAGGGACUCUGUAUAUAGAGGCAUAGGACAAGACUGAUCAUCUUGUUAGGCCUAUAUAAGAACGUAUUAGAACAGCAAAUAGUAUAACGCGAUAUGAAAUGUAUCGAAAUUUGAAUUGUAAAUCUUUAAAGCAGUCUCGUAUGUUGAAUACGAAGAUGUCGACGCUACUUUAUACGUUUGUAAAGUAAUAGCGACUGCGCUUAAAGUAAGAGCGAGAGUACCUCGAGAAUGGGGGAAUCGAACAUAGAAGUUAGUUACAAAAGAGACGUGAACCCACGUGCAAGAAGAUAUUAUUGUAGUCGAUCGAAGAAGAAGGGAUUGAUUCAUAAUGAUUAUGAAUCAAGCAGUAAUAAGAUGGUUAGGAUUGUUUGUAUAAGAAAUUACUCGAUAAGUAUAUCGAGGUACUUUCAUCUAAGGAUAGUAAUAGAUAAAAGACUGUAUAACCCUAACUGUAAAGUCAACAUUUAGUGAAUGAUUGAUCAUAGUAUAGCAGUGAAAGUGAGGAAGGAAGAGAAUGAUAAUUUAUGAAUAAGAAUUGGAUAAGUAGUAUAAAAAGAUUAUGAAAAUUCGAGGACGAAUUUUUAUAAGGGGGGAAGAUUGUAAUAACCUAAAUGUUUGUGGUGUUACGUGUAGUGCCACGAGGCAUAACCUUAAAGAUUAAGAACGAGAAUAUCGGAUUAGGGUUGGAUAAUAAGGACUUAGAUCGAAGCGGGUCUAUUGGAAUUAUCGUAGAAUAAUAAUUUAAAUGGAAAAUUAUUAUGCGAUAAAUUGGAUUUAAUCGAGACAAAAAAAAGGAGGAAUAAAAUAAAAUAAGUUGGAAAGUCAGAGCGAAUAAUAUUCACGCCAAGGUCCGUGAAAUAUUAUUAAUAAACGAUCGUCAAAAUUUCGCAAGUAUACGAAAUCGUUUUAGAAGAUAGUUUGACGAUUAGUUAAGAAUAAGGAUUAAAGUGCAAAUUAGCCACUUUAAGGACUAAAGUGGACUUUUAAUCACAAACUUCCGGAGUAAGUUGUGUUUUACUCUAUUUUCUCAAGAUAAGAAAAUAAUAUCGAUUAAGUGGUCAUCGAUGGUCAUUAAAGUGAAAUAUUGGACGAAAAAGUGCAAAUUAGCUCAAAAUGGAAAUAUGAGCGUUUUUUUACCAAAAUUGCCAACAUAAAUUGUUGAAAAGUGAUAUUAUAAUAUAUGAUACUAAUAUUAAUUAUUUGGAAAAUAAAUAAUACGGAAUUCAUCGAGAAUCGAAUAAUUAAAGGAUUAGUGGACUAAAUUGGACGAAAGAAAAGUUAGAAGUUAGAGGUUGAGGAGGUGGCAAACUCAAGGACUAAAGGAGACUUUUGUCUCAUUUAUCUAAGUCACUUGCAUAUGAGUUUAAACUCAGCAAGCUUAUCAUUUUCAGCUCCCAAAUUUCGUACUCCAUCCUUUCUCCAUGGAAGAUCAUCAACCAAAUUUCAAAGGAGCAUAACUUCUUCGUUUCUCAACGAAAUUGGACGAUUCUUGUGGCCACGGAAUGAGAAGAAGGAGAGCUACUGAUCUAGCCCUAUUGUUCAAGGUGUUCUUGAGUUGAAUUGAAGCAAAGUUGAUGGUGAAUUUGAGCUUGAAGUGUUUGGCCAUGAUCAACAAUCCAAGGGAUAGCAUGAUAUGAUUUGAAGAGUCAAUCUUCCGAAGUUCUAAUUCUCGGAAGUGAUUUGUACAAGAAAAAAAAAAGAAUGUUUUCAUUCUAGCAGUCCGCAGUAGUCUAGAAUUUGUUAACUAUAAUUUUGUAUAACGCGUUUUAACUCUGAUAUUAUUUGUAAAUGGGGUCACAUGUAUUUUAAUAUAUGAAAUAUGUUUUAA